rnacentral:rRNA from 1 species
GGCUGUCGUCAGCUCGUGCCGUGAGGUGUUGGGUUAAGUCCCGCAACGAGCGCAACCCCUACCAUUUAGUUGCCACCGAGUAAUGUCGAGCACUCUAAAGGAACUGCCUACGCAAGUAGCGAGGAAGGCGGGGAUGACGUCAAGUCCGCAUGGCCCUUACGCCUAGGGCUACACACGUGCUACAAUGGAUGCUACAACGGGUAGCGAAGUCGCGAGACGGAGCCAAUCCCUUAAAAGCAUCCCCAGUUCGGAUUGGAGUCUGCAACUCGACUCCAUGAAGUUGGAAUUGCUAGUAAUCGCGUAUCAGCAUGACGCGG